CUGUGUUGCGGCUAUAUUAUAUGUAUAUAUUAUGUCCAAGAGAUAUGUGGUGCGGGGAGUCGCUGUUGCAGUACAUGGAAACAAUGAUCUUCCUUUACUUCAUGAUUAGGUGUUUAGAGUAUUCCUGUGCACCAGGGAGCACAAGGAGUUUGGGAGGAAGGACGAGCCCACAACCAUCCAUCAGCGAUGGCAAGCAGCGAAGGGUCAAGUUGGAGGCGAACAUCAAGAAGCAUGUAAGAAGGUGACAGUCGCUGGAGCAUACUGUAGCUCGGACAAUUACCACAAGAACUUGAGUUUGAGACCCUGAAGCAAACUAGGGACUGUCUUUCCAGCUAGAAACAACAGGGGAAACCUAAAGGUAAAACAAGAAAGCUCGAGAACAUGAAGUGGUGGCCGAGGCGGAGUAGCAUCCUAGCUUCAGCUCGACUUGUACUGCUGAACCAUGCACAUGAGGCUGUCCUUGAUCAUCUCUUUCGGCAGCAGGUCUCCAUCUCUUGCACUCAGAUUGUUCCAGCCAGGGUUCACAAGGCUUAGAGCUGCUUGCAGGUGUCGAUGGAGCAACGCGCUGCACCAGUAGCUGAUCCAGGAGAGAAGACGCCAGGGAAGCAAGAGAUAGUGAAGCCACAUGGAUCACACCCAAGGCAGCAAGGGGCUUUGGCCACCUGUAAGGCCUGCUGGG